UACGUAGGGUGCGAGCGUUGUCCGGAAUUAUUGGGCGUAAAGGGCUCGUAGGCGGUUUGUCGCGUCGGGAGUGAAAACGCCGUGCUUAACACGGCGCUUGCUUUCGAUACGGGCAGACUAGAGGUAUGCAGGGGGAGAACGGAAUUCCUGGUGUAGCGGUGAAAAUGCGCAGAUAUCAGGAGGAACACCGGUGGCGAAGGCGGUUCUCUGGGCAUUACCUGACGCUGAGGAGCGAAAGUGUGGGGAGCGAACAGG
rnacentral:rRNA from 1 species